UAACCUGCCCUUAAGUCUGGGAUACCAUUUGGAAACAGAUGCUAAUACCGGAUAACAACAGAUGAUGCCUAUCAACUGUUUAAAAGAUGGUUCUGCUAUCACUCUUGGAUGGACCUGCGGUGCAUUAGCUAGUUGGUAGGGUAACGGCCUACCAAGGCGAUGAUGCAUAGCCGAGUUGAGAGACUGAUCGGCCACAUUGGGACUGAGACACGGCCCAAACUCCUACGGGAGGCAGCAGUC
rnacentral:rRNA from 1 species